GCGAGAGAGAGGUGGGGGGGAGGAGGGAGAGAGGGGGAUGGCGAGAUUGAAAGGGAUCUUUGCAAACACAAUCACGUUCUUAAAUGGAAAUGCGGCUUUAAACAAAUCUUACAUCUCUGCGCUCCCAGUAAAACUCUGCAAUCAGGAGAGAGAGAACGUUCUCCUCUCCUGUUCUCUCAGAACAGGACCGUUCUCCAGAAGAACGUUUUAAUCAUCCACCUCAAAGCAAGGUUGGGCUUUUUGUUUCAUGUGGAGCGUUUGUUUUGGUUUUGGUUUCUUUCGCGUGCGCAGCUCCUCUCUGUGUCCGCGCGGGACACGCGGUACCCCGCUGUGAGGCUCGAGUUGUGAGGCUCUUCGCGCUGUGAGGCUCGCGCUCAAAGAAGCCGCUCCGCGGCUUCUUUCGGUUGUCCCCCCCGGGCCAGUCCUUCCCCCGUUCCGGUCCGGUCCCCCCGGUCCGGUCCGGUCCCCCCGGUCCGGUCCGGUCCCCCCGUUCCGGUCCGGUCCCACCGGUUGUCCCCCCCGGUCUGGAGCAGCGACCCGCCGUGCACGUGGGGCCGUGCACGUGGGGCCGUGCCUGCGCCUCCAGAUGCGUGGCCUUCGCUUUGUGAAGCUCGUGGCCUUGUGUGCAUUUUUGCCGCUUCAUGCGGGGUUGCCAUGGCGCCUCUGAAAGGGACUGGCUCUGAGUGACGGCUCACAGCGGAGCACGGGGCCGCGGUCCCGAUGAGGCGCGAGGAGCGAGGAAAAAUGACCCGAGCGGAGUCGUCACCGCGCGGGGAACGCUUUGACCCGCUGAGCUUUCUGCCUUCAAACGGCCGACG
ensembl:lncRNA